rnacentral:rRNA from 1 species
GACGAACGCUGGCGGCGUGCUUAACACAUGCAAGUCGUACGGUAAGGCCCUUUCGGGGGUACACGAGUGGCGAACGGGUGCGUAACACGUGAGUAACCUGCCCACAACUUUGGGAUACCGCUAGGAAACUGGUGCUAAUACUGGAUAUGUGCUCCUGCUGCAUGGUGGGGGUUGGAAAGCUCCGGCGGUUGUGGAUGGACUCGCGGCCUAGAAGCUUGUUGGUGGGGUAGUGGCCUACCAAGGCGGCGCCGGGUAGCCGGCCUGAGAGGGUGACCGGCCACAUUGGGACUGAGAUACGGCCCAGACGCCUACGGGAGGCAGCAGUGGGGAAUAUUGCACAAUGGGCGCAAGCCUGAUGCAGCAACGCCGCGUGCGGGAUGACGGCCUUCGGGUUGUAAACCGCUUUCAGCAGGGACGAAGCUUUUUGUGACGGUACCUGCAGAAGAAGCACCGGCUAAGUACGUG